UGUGCAAAGGUAGCAUAAUCAUUUGGCUUAUAAUUGAAGUCUGGUAUGAAAGAAUCCAUGGGUAACAACUGUCUCCUAUGAUGAAAAUGAAAUUAUUUAAUAAGUGAAAAUACUUAUGUAUACAUAAUAGACGAGAAGACCCUAGAAAUUUUAUAUAAUAAACUUAUCUUAAUUUCUUUAUUUUGUUGGGGCGACAGAAUAACAAUUAACUUAUUUUUAAGUUAUCUGAAUUAUGUACUAUGGAAAAAUAAAUUACUCUAGGGAUAACAGCAUAAUCUAUAAAAGUUUGUGACCUCGAUGUUGGACUAGGAUUUUAAAUAACCAGAAGUUAUUUAAGUAAGCUCUGUUCGAGCUGGGUUUCCUACAUGAUCUGAGUUCAAAUCG
rnacentral:rRNA from 1 species